rnacentral:lncRNA from 1 species
GAGCGCUGCGCCCCGCCCCCAACGGCCGUGGGGGACGGCCGCGAGCGGGGGGCGCAUGCGCUCUCCACCGCGCGGCGGCCGUGCGUGCAUUCCCGAAGGACGCGCGCUCCGCGGUGCCGCCGGCGGUCGCGCUUUCCUUCCCCCCCCCCCCCCCCCCCCCCCCCCCCCCUUCCCCCCCCCAUGGCCAAGCGGCGCGCGGAGCCGUUAGUGUGUCACGUGCCCGUCAAACGGCUCAUGCGCGAGCCGCCGCCGCCGCCCCGCGCUGCCGCGCCCGAGCGGCGCCCCCGGGGCGAGGCGGCGGGCGCCGGCCCCGCCGCCCCGAAACGGAAGCUGGAGGAGGCAGAGGCGCCGCCGGGCAAGCGGCCCGGGCUGCGGGGAAGCAGCUCCCGCGGGGAGCAGGGGGACGCGGGGGGCAGGCGGCGGCGGCGCGGCGGGCCCGCGGCGCCCCAGGACGAGCGGACGGCGGAGGGACGCGCCGGUGACCGGGGCAAAGAGCGGGGCGCCGCCGCUGAGCAGGAAGAAGAAUUCUGUCAGUAUAACUCAUUCCUGUAUUGGAGAGCACCACUGCCUGCUAUUGAUUUGUCUGAUAUUCAGAACCUAGAUGGAGGGACUCCACCAGAAGCUAAAACUCCUUCAAGGACUGAUGCUAUGGAGACUGAAAUGGAGACCUGAUCAAUUGUUUCAUAGUUGUACAUCUACUUGCAGGAAACUUGUUUCCGUUUGGAUUCAGGUUUUUCUACUUGGGAGAAAAAUGAGCAUGCUUCUGCCUUUUUGAAGAAAUAGUAUGUCAGUCUGCAAAAGCAAGUCUGAGUUGUUUUAAGUGGAUGGGAUAAUCACUAUUAGGUACUUAAUAGUAAGCUGUCUGGAGGUGUACAGUGUAGAGGAGGCUAUGAUGUCUAGCAAGAAUGCUUGAAAAUACAGACGCAGGCUAAAAGAAGACUACAGAAAAUUAGAACUUUGGGAUGUAAUUAAAAGAAACAGGUGAAUAUGUUACAUAUCAAAAGGAAAUAGAAAAUCAUCUUGCCUGUCCUGAACAAAAAGAUAUAACUGUGGUACCUAAAAGUGAAAUAUUUAUAAUGUGAAUUUAUCAUAAAGCACACAAACUUUAGCAAUUUUUAAUGUGGGGUUUUUUUUCAGUGUUUAAUAGCUAAACCAAAAAGUAAGAGCCUACUAAAACAAGACAAAACAUUCCCUUUUCUAUGCAAACCAAAACCAAAUGUGGCAGGGAAGGGGAAUGAAAAGGGGAUCUUUCUUCGGUAAGCUGCCACUGUUCUGAAAGUUUUUCACAUUCUCCUUGUGAAAAAGUUUUUUCACCUUCUCCAUUUCACAUUAUGCAAAGCAGUGGUCAGCCAGCUUUUAGGAUUUUGGUCCAUUCUCAAGUUAAUGCUGUUCUUACUCUUUCUGACAUUAGCUCUGAAUCAGUCAGUAGCAUUGAAAUGGCAGGUGUGCGCAGGUGUGUCAGGGAAAGUUAAUGGAAUAUAAAACUGCCACAUACAGUGACUGAGGUGUAGUUUUUGCUGAGACUGGAUCUUGCAAAAAAUUUUUACAGAAGUUCACUGAAUAGUGUUUUUUGCUGUGAAAUAUGACUUAAUGCUUGUCUUCUGUAAUUUAUUUACAAGCUGAAGUACAAUUAGAAAUACUUGUUUUUAAUAAUAGACUGAAGUUGUAUGGGCAGACUGUCAGCCUUUGCAAAUGUGAUUUGUCUUUAAGGAUAGCAAACACUGUAUUUUUGCUGGAAUCAUCACUGAAGAAGGCAACUUCUGAAAUUUUCUAAUUUUUUAACAGUAAUGUAUUUACUAAAGGACAAUAAAGUUUUGCCUGUGUGUAUUUGAAAACUUUGGGACUAUCACUAUGUAAAGUUCCUGACUUUUUUCCUUCAGAUUGUUGCUUCUAUAACUUUGCCAUUUUAUUAGAUCUUUCUACCUAAAAUAUUCAGCUUGUCAGCCUUCUCAUUAAACAUUUGGAAACUUUUUUUCAGUAUUUGUGCUGUAUUUGUUCAUUAAUAUUCAUUAGGGUCAUUAGAUUGUUAGGGUCUCUCAGUACCCACAGAAGAAAGGAGGUGGCUUAGUGACUCAAACAUUUUGUGGUGCUUGGUUGGAUGUGCUUCUGCCUGCUGUCAGAUUAGCUGGAUACAUAUUUAAACAAUAUUUAUUCUUCUCUCACAUUUUCAAUGAUAUUUUUAUAAGUCGAAAUACAUCAACUUGUCUUAGGAGAUACUUUAAAAAUGUUUUUAAAAACAAACUCCUUUUCUGGCAAGACUGCAAGUGCUAUUUCAUGUUUAAUAUAACCAAAAUAAAUUAGUGAGGAAACAGAUUAAUUAGUUUGUUGAGGUGUUUGUUUUGGUUUUGGUUUUGGGGUUUUUUUUUACCCUAGGUAAUACAUGCAUUCCUAUAUUUGUGGGGUUUAUAGUAUUUCACACUAUCCAGUAUUCUCAGGAUCUAGUAUUUUGCAUUAUUAUCUAGUAUCUUUGCAGAAAUACUUUAGUCACUUAAAAUCUUCUUGGAUCUUCAUAUGCAGUAGAUAUGUCCUAGCAAUAGACUGGAUUUUAUUGUUAAAACCUGUCUCUCCUUUCCACUGUAUUCACAGGACAAAAGAGGUUUUAUUAUUGUCUUUAGAAUACAUAUUUGAGCUAUUCCGUAACAAAAUAAAUAAGCCCUUUAAACCAAAUGAAGCUUGCACUGUGUUUGUAGGCCAUAUGUUUACUUUAUUUGCAAUUACGCUGUAGGCAAGCACCUGCUUCUUGGCUUGUUCCAGUCAUGGUCUCUGGGUUAUGGGCUGGAAUGUUACAGCUACUUUCAGAGCAUUUGCUGAACUGAUUCAUUUUUUCCAUUCAUCUGUUUGCAAAUAGAGGCAAAUUUAAAAGCCUUGGAAAACUUUUUAAAUGAGUCUGAGAGUUUGAAUUACACAAAAGGCUGAGCAAGGUAAGGGGGAGUGAUGAUAGAAUACAUAAACAAAAGCUGUCAAAAGGUGUGAUCAAGACAUGUCAUUGCUUAGUGUCUUGUGUCCCCAGAUACCAUGUGUCACAGUAGGCUACCACAACACCAGUCUUGGCUUCCAACUCUGUAUUUCUAGAGUGCUCUUAUUCAAGGGCUGUACAUAAACUGUAAGCAAGCUUCAGAUGUUUUAAUUUGCAUGUUCAUUCAUACCCAGUCAGAAGAAAAUGUUCUUUUGAAAUAACAAAAUGUCAGCACAAAUUCUAAGACUUCUCAAGAGUAGCGUAAUACCUAGCAACUGAUAAUCUUAAUUUGAUGUGUUCUUAAACUUUGAGGAAAAAAAUUGUUUAUAUUCUCUCUAGGUAACUGGGAGUUUGAUUUUCUCUAAAAUGUUCCUCUUCAAAAAGGAAGAACCACUGUUACAAGGGUAAGAAAACGUACAGUGUAACCACAGAGAUCAUCUGGAUACUACUGGGGUUGAUAUAGGUGUUGCGUACGGAAGUAGCACAGUAAGGGUAUGGGCAUACUGAUGAGAAAUGAAAUGCUGGAGUUAAACAUGUUUCAGAGCAGAUUUAAACUGCAAAGUAGUAUUACCAGCUUGCCUGCUUUUGUAAAUUUUCUGUCUCAUUCUAAACUUAAGGCCUGCUUUUCAUGGACUCAUUUGUGUUUAUUGAAGGCCUGUACAGUAUUUAUGGUUCCCAAGAUAGAUGAGCCUCCAGGAGAAGCUUAAAGCUCAGUCCAAACCAGGAAAGUGAAGAACUACUAUGAAAAACAGGCUGCACUGAUGACCACGUCUUGCAUAACUAGACUGUGGUACAAAGGAAGAAAAGAGAAGAAAGUGUGGAAUGGAAGAUAGGUGAUGAUGAUGAAGUAGCGUAACAAAUGAGUGCAUAGUUGGCCAGGAGAGCAAUGACAUGAAGUAAUAUUUUCAGCAUUGGCUCCAUCUUCAGCACAGCAACAUUUACAAUAGUUUAAAUAUCGUGAUCAACAGUAAAUCUUAGGUUUCUCUCCAUUUUGACAGUUACUGCUUGAUGUCUUUUUCUGUUGGCAAGGCCAAGAAUUUAAAGGACAUUAAAGAAGUACAACACACUUACGUAUAUGGGUGGUUUGAAAAUCCUCAGGAUCCUCUGUGUAGAAAAUAAGACAGUGCAAGUAUGUUUCCAGGUGGCAUCGAAGAUAAUUGCUGUCCAGCGUUUGGCAGCUAUUUCUGGUUACAGCAGAUUCGUUGUGGGGAAUUCUUGUGUAUUUUUGUGAAAGCAUCUGAUGAUGGCUGCAUCAAAUACACUGCACAAACUCAUUGCUUGGUAUAUUAAAGCUUAUGUUCAAAGAAGCAUUUCAAAAUAGCUAGUAUGCUUGGGCUGGCUUAAUUAUUUCCAUGCUUACAGUUAUAACCUUAACUCUCUAGGUGGCAAUACACAUACACAGUAAACUACAGUGAAUCUGGAAAAAGUUUUGGGUAUGCUUUUAUUCUGAACCGCUACUGAAAAUACAAGCAGUGACAUCAUGAAUGUUAAUCAUUUCCUUACUGUGAUACAUAAAUAAAGGCAGGUCAAGUCACAAGUUCCUGAUUAUAAGGUGACAUAAGGUCUUCAGCAUAACUGGAAUAAAAACAUUUUGUCAAGAAUUGGUUCAUCUCCUGUUCGUUCCCCCCCCCCCCCCCCCCCCAAAAAAAAAGCCAUCAACACUUGGGAGUUUGUUGUCACUACUUAGCACUGUUUCCAUUAGUUAGAAUUCGAAAGCAAGCUUCAUCUGUGUGUUGGAUGGAAACUUCAGUCAGUGGCUGAAGGCUACUUGAAAUGUACUCAUUAAAUAUGAGGAAGAAAAAGGUAAGUGCUAAUUCAUAAGAAACUAACUCAUGAAGUAGUGUUUAAAUUUUGGUAUGUAGGUAACAAUAUAUUUGAAAUGUAUGAGGAAAUUUCAA